rnacentral:rRNA from 1 species
GAUGAACGCUGGCGGCAUGCUUAACACAUGCAAGUCAACUUGAAUUUGGGUUUUUAACUUAGGUUUGGGUGGCGGACGGGUGAGUAACGCGUAAAGAACUUGCCUCACAGCUAGGGACAACAUUUGGAAACGAAUGCUAAUACCUAAUAUUAUGAUAAUAGGGCAUCCUAUAAUUAUGAAAGCUAUAAGCGCUGUGAGAGAGCUUUGCGUCCCAUUAGCUAGUUGGAGAGGUACCGGCUCACCAAGGCGAUGAUGGGUAGCCGGCCUGAGAGGGUGAUCGGCCACAAGGGGACUGAGACACGGCCAGUAGGCAUUCGGGAGGCAGGAGCGGGGAAUAUUGGACAAUGGACCGAGAGUGUGAUCCAGCAAUUCUGUGUGCAAGAUGAAGUUUUUCGGAAUGUAAAGUGCUUUCAGUUGGGAAGAAACAAAUGAUGGUACCAACAGAAGAAGUGACGGCUAACUACGUG